rnacentral:lncRNA from 1 species
ACCGGUGACUCUGGGCUCGCGGUCGGUCCCCAGCUUCCCUACCCCAUCCGCAACCCUACUCAGGCUCAGCAUCUUUUCACAGGCCUCUAUCCAUCACCUCAGACCCAGGAUCUCAGCCCUUGUGCGUCUUCAGGAUCCUCAUCCCUGAUCUCUCCCGAAGGCCGCCCUAUCCCUCCUUCAGGCGGGGACCUAGUACCUUCCGUCCAGCGCUCCCCGCUGCCCAGAGUCGCCGCCAUAUCGGUUCCCAAUCAGCAGGUCCGCCGAGCCUCCCCCGUGCCCGAGGCUGAAAGAGAAGGGGGCGCGGAGCGCGGGGCACGCUGGUCAUUGUAGUCCAGUCCAUAUGAGCUCCCGGGGCACUGGACUACAACUCCCGGCAGGCUCUGCGCCAGAGGCCGUGGGAGACGCAGAGAAGUGCUCGACCUUCGUCAGGAGAUCUGUGGAAGAGUGCUGCUGCCAGCUGCCAGCUGCCUGCAGCACGGCUCUUGGCUUUUCCUCAUUUGUAGAGUUGGGAUAGUGGCUUCGGCCCUGCCUAACCCUAGGGACAUCCAAGGAGGGGCGACUGAAGUCCUGCCUGGAAAGGGCUUCGCAAACUAUAGGCUAGAGGGUGACAGUAUGACUAUUAUGCUCCUCAGGGAUGUCUUUUUGAAGCAUACGCUAAUGCCUGUUCUGUGCAGUCAGUGGUAGGCCCUGGAGAUUCAGAGAUGGGUUUUGGGGAUGCGGAACCCAGCCUUUGGAAGCUUGAGUCAGGAAAAUAGAAAAGUGAUGUAGAUUUAUGGGGUUGGAGGGCAAUCUCAGUAUGUCCCUACUGCCCCAGCUCCUCAGGCACUGGACAUCAGAGGGUAUCGGGGUGGAGAAAGAAGACAUGGAAAGGUAUUGGGGCCGGCAUGAAGAGCCUCCAUCUUUGCUGUUCCUGUCCUUCCUCCAACCCAUCCUACUCCAACACCCCUCUGACACUUUUCUCCUCUCUUCCAGUCUAGUUAUCUCUUUAGCCCAUUCGUUUCUUUUCUGAAGGACCAGACAUUGAGAUUAGUAAAAAGGAAAUGAGGAAAUAAAUAUUCUUGCUGUUCCUCAUCCAGGUAUGGAUGGAACCUAGCAAAGAAUAAAAGCAACACUUUCUUCAUAGGUGGAUGGCUACAGUUCAUCCCCAAACAAAAAAUUACCCAGAAUUAACUGAGGUCUUACCCAAGAAGACCAAAUCAAUCAUGAUAUCAACUAGCACCUACUUAGGCAGUUGGGGAGAGAUGUAUAUUCCUGGACAUAAACUUGGAAGGGUAAAAGCACCAAAGGGCAUGCAGUUCCAGCCCUUGCCUACAGUCAUGGCCCUGGCAUCACUGACAUUAUGCCCACUUAAGAACUCAGAGAACGGCCGGGCGCGGUGGCUUAUGCCUGUAAUCCCAACACUUUGGGAGGCCGCGGCAGGCGGAUCGCGAGGUCAGGAGA